UUAGUGGCGGACGGGUGAGUAACGCUGGGGAACCUGCCUUGCACCGGGGGAUAACACUUAGAAAUAGGUGCUAAUACCGCAUAAGCGCACAGGAGCCGCAUGGCUCAGUGUGAAAAACUCCGGUGGUGCAAGAUGGACCCGCGUCUGAUUAGCUGGUUGGCGGGGUAACGGCCCACCAAGGCGACGAUCAGUAGCCGGCCUGAGAGGGUGAACGGCCACAUUGGGACUGAGACACGGCCCAAACUCCUACGGGAGGCAGCAG
rnacentral:rRNA from 1 species